AAACUAAACUGACUGACCAGCGUUUAUUUCAAGAGGCUCCUCAAUGUGCAUCCAAAUCUGCCUCUAAUAUUAAAAAACUGUUUAUACAGGCUGUUGCAUCGACUGUAACUGAAGUAUCAUGAACAGAGAGAUGAUCAUGCACUGGAAUAAAUUCACUAUUGUUAACUCUGUCUAUUUUGACACAACAAAAUCAAACUCAAAUAGUAAAGUUAAAUCAUUUAGAAUAAAAACGAUGGGGAUCAGUGAUUUGUCUUUAGGCAUGCACAUUCAGUUCAUCCACGUCUGUGUGGCUGAUGAUUGAUCCACUGAACGUGUUGCUGCUGCUCUGUCCCACCCACUGAACAGUCCACCCAGAGAGCUACAUUAACACUCAUUCACUGAGAAAUACUGGCGACUCCCUUCAAGAAAAGUAGUUAAGUUCUGUCCAAAAAGUUGCUAGAUAUGACGCGAGUCGCUUUAAAAAAAAAAUCGCUGAAGGGUUCUGAAAAGUAGCUACAUCUGGCGACAAAGUCACCAAGUUGGCAACACUGGUCGAUACUACUGAACAACAUCCUCAUCAUCCUGAUAACAUGAAAAUAUAAUAUAUCAAUUAUUUAGUAAAAGUCACAAUAUGUUGCUAACACACACGUGCACAUAGAUUUUGAUAUACUGAGCAGUAAUAAUGAAGCUAACUGCUGUGUUUAAACGUACACAGCAGUGGUUGCAGUGACAAGACAGUUUGCAGCUUCAUCACUUGUCACUACAUUAUUACAUUAUUAAUGACCUGUUUCUGCACUAGCACUUACCGCAGCGAUUGUUUUUUCCUUUUGCCCUCCCUCCUCUCUUUGCAUUUCACAUCAGAUUAAAACACCUGUAGGUUCAAAAUGCUGCUCCAUAUCGUAUCAUACUUACCAAAGUCUUGAUUCACUGAAAUCCCUAUUUGUAGGUUGGUUAUGCUUUUAAUAUCUUGUCUCAUCUUGUUUAUGAAAAAUGAUAUCAAGUGAAUGUCACCCACUGAAUUAUUUUUAAUUGUAACACAUAAAAUAGUUAAUGAAUUUAUGACACUGUAAUACUAUGAUGUUUUUUUGUUGAAAUGUUUUUCUAAAAAAAAAUCUUCACCAGAAAGCAUCUAUGGUUGAUUCAUAUUUUGUUGUCAUGUAAUACAUUCUUUCUCUUCGGUACAGAAAAAAAGAAUUACUGCAACUUCCAGUCUCACUUCAGAUGAAGAUGAAACACAGAUUGACCCAUCACAAGUUCUUCAAACAAAUAAGCCGAAGAUGACAAAGGCUGCAAGAGACAGAGCCCUUUCCCAACUGAAAUCCUCGCUGCUGAGAAGAAAGCAAACAACCUCCACCCCCUUGACAAAUGAAGACGAUACAGACAUAGACACCAAUGUGGACUUAUUUGACCCACCUCAGGCUUCGGGAUCAACUGACCUCUGCCAAGGGGAAAGUGAAGAGGAGAGUGUCCUGAUGGAUCAGCCCAGAUCCAGUGUUGGCAUGCAACAGGAAGUGAUGGAUGCUCUGAAAGAAAUACCAGCCUUAGUCAAGUGUGUCAAAGAUCUUAUCACAACCAUGAAGAGAAUGCCACCUGUCAUGGACACUGACAGUACAUGUUCUGGUUCUUCCAGUCCAGCUCCAGAAAUGAUUUCCCUUGGCAACACGGGGUUGCAGGUCAGCAAAACCUGAUUCAAAAGACUCAACCGAACAAGAAUGUCCCUGUUCACACAGGACUUAGCUGUGCUCAUCUUUGGGCGGGAUGUUUUGGCAUCCUCGACUCUCACAGGAAAACCAGGGCUUAAUGGAACAGCGAAAGAGCAGCUAAAUCCGGAAAAGCUGAGUGCCCUUGUUGAUACAGUUAUUGCUGAAUUUCCAGGAACAAAUGUGUCUGAUGUGAGGGCAGUGAUUCGGAGAAAAUGUAACAAUGAGAAUUUUGUGAGCAAAAAGAAACAGUAAGAAGUAAAUUAGUAACUGUUUGUAAUCGUUU